rnacentral:rRNA from 1 species
UCUGGCCUCUUGGGGUCCGAGUUGUAAUUUGUAGAGGAUGUUUCGGGUACCGCCUCGGUUUAAAUUUCUUGGAACAGAAUGUCAAAGAGGGUGAGAAUCCCGUCUUGGACCGGCGGUAGGGCCUAUGUGAAACUCCUUCGACGAGUCGAGUUGUUUGGGAAUGCAGCUCAAAAUGGGUGGUAAAUUUCAUCUAAAGCUAAAUAUUGGCCAGAGACCGAUAGCGCACAAGUAGAGUGAUCGAAAGAUGAAAAGCACUUUGAAAAGAGAGUUAAACAGUAUGUGAAAUUGUUGAAAGGGAAGCGCUUGCAACCAGACUUGAGCGCGGCGGUUCCCCCUUGCUUCUGCUUGGGUUACUCCGCCGUGUCCAGGCCAACAUCGGUUCUGGGGGUCGGUCAAAGGCUCUGGGAAUGUAUCUACCCACGGGUAGACUUAUAGACCAGGGUGUCAUGCGACCUCCCGGGACCGAGGAACGCGCUUCGGCUCGGAUGUUGGCGUAAUGGUUGUCAGCGACCCGUCUUGAAA